UUAGCAGUUACAACAGGGAUAUAUGCGCCCUUCAACAACUUGGCUAUUAUAUACAAGCAACAGGGAACUUAUGCAGAAGCGAUAGCCUGUUACAAUGAAGUUCUUCACAGACUGUUUAAUGCAGAAGCGAUAGCCUGUUGCAUAUUGCCUCAUUUAAUGGAAGAAUGUUUGUGUAUUUUAUGGAUACUGUUAUAAGAAGAAUAUUUAUAUAAUUUGUGAAUAUUUGUGUAUUUUUUGGAUACUGUUGAAUGAAGAAUAUUUAUGUAA